UGAACCCCACAUGGUGAAUGUGAGUCCCACGACAUCUGCAAAACUUCAGCCCAAGAACAGGAAACUGUAGGGGAAUAAUUACACCACUGAGGGCCCAGCCCUGCUCUGAGUGCUAAACACAAGCAGUCAGGACAAACAGUUCCUUUUCAGGGGCUGGGCAAGGCCUUGGUUUGUGGGGCUGUGUUUCUAUAAGGCUUACACUGAUAGGGAAGACUGCUAAUUUCCCUUCGGAUAUCUGUAAACAGAUAGUUAGAUCCUAGAUGGUUCCUAGCACAGACAUCAAUAUUAGAGGCACUGAAUUUGGGCAUUACAAAGGUUGUGUGCACUCUUAGGGCUCAUGGGACUCCUACUUCUGCUGACAGUGGAGCCACCCUGCUUCAGUUCCAGAUCGCAUUGACUUAUUUUCUGAAAGAAAACACGCCAACAGUGCAAUCACAAGGAGAGUCAAAAGGGCUUCCGCACCAAACGCUAUUGUAUUUAAAAUGAUCUAGACAGCAAACACAACACAGGCAGAUAGACGGAGGGUUGGCAGGAGAAAGGGAAAAAUCAACAAAGGCAGUGUCAAAGUCCUGGAAGCAAAUGCAAACCCCACAGAAAAUUUCAUCAGGGCUUUUGCAAUCACGCUGCUCUUUAAAGCGGGUCAGGGGGCGAAGAAAGGAGUCAACCGCGGGCUUUCUGUCCUACCAGGGGUGAGGGAACCUCAUUCUUGUGGUGGGUUUGUGCUUUUAGAUUUGCUAGCCAUACCGAAAGGAAGAACUUACAGUGACUACAGGUGGGAGCACCUGCUGUGCUCCCCAAGGGGCAGAGAGGCUUCAUCACAUCCCUUCUGUGUUUCUGAGUCAAUGGGCACUCCUGGAGACCAGCAGCAGCCCCAGGCCUUCGACUAGGAAAGUUCUCCUCAUAGGCUUUUGUGGACGCACAUGUUCCCCACCCAGGGCUGGAAGCCGGGUGAUGUGGCAGGGCCUUGCAAAUUUCAACAGCACAGAGAAGGCCAAGGCGGUCUUCUCUUUCUUCCAGAAGCUGAAUACAGCAGCCCCCGCAAAAAGCUCGUGGGGCUUGCUGUUUGAGUCCCUGCUCCUGCACAACACAUCCUUUCACACUGCACUUCUCAUCAGAGGUGUUUACUCUCUGGGUCCCCAGAGACAGCGCAGAACAGACAAUAGGACACGAAGAAACAUUCUGCAGGCUCUCACUGCCCCCUGUCUGAACGGCCUGCAGUUACAUUCAGUGGACUCUGGGUUGGGAGGCUGCGUAGCAGACGUGCCUGUGGGUUUGUAGGUGACGCCUCUCUUUAGUUGUCAACUACUUUGGUUCUCAGUUAAGGCUCAGAGAUUCAGGAAUAGCCACUGAGUCAGCAGACCAAGGGCCAAAGAGGGCACUACAGGCCAUGGCUGUGGUUUGCACAAUACGUUCCUGUUGGCUGUACCCAAUCUUAUACCAAAGUGCUGACUCUUCUCAAACCUCUGGAACUCACAGGGAGUGCAGGAUUAGAGGUCAUUUUCCAGUAUGGGACGUAUGCUGCCCAGCAAAGAAUGCCCAAGGGAGGUUAGACUUUGUGAGAGCCCCAGCUCUUGAGCCAUCUGUGAAGUGGAUUCCUGCAGCACAACCAGGGGCCUCUGAUCUAGAGAGAGCAAAGGGCAGAGGACCUGCUGAAGGAUGCAUGAAACCUAAACCUCCCUUCUCAGCACAUCUGCAUGGCUAGAUAGAAAGCCUGGACCAGGGAGGUUGGACAAGCUGCAGGCAGACCUGGGAGGCGGUGUUUCCUUUUCAUCAGUCAGAAAACUACUUGCUAACAACCGCCCACAUCCUGGAGCUUAAGCUACCCUCCCCAUCUCCAUUAAAAAUAUAAUCAAAAACACCACUUCCUAUGCAGAAUUCAAAUAUGAGACAAAAGAAGAAAAGUUCCCACUCUGAAACAAUGCCUAUCUUGCCUUGAUGGAUUUCUCUGCAAUGUUUGCUCUGCAGUUUUCACUCGCUAUCUUGCUUCACCAAGUCUGUGAACACACAUUUUACUGCCUGCUGCUUCCAGUGUGCUGGCUGAAGGAUAUUGGAGAAGGAGGGUGGAGAAACAGAAGAACGGACUGUGAAGUUUUUCUGCUUCCCUUCUCGGGUCUUACCAGAUAUGAGCUGAAGCCAUAGGCACACAGUGCCAGACUGAGUGGGCACCUUGGAGGCCAUGACAAUAUAUGGGCUCUCCAAGACCAAGAGAUAGAUGCUCCCGUAUCACCUCCCUUCUACUCGGUAUCCCAGACACCAGGGGUUCACUCUGAAGACUACAAAGACUACUAGCUAUGUGGUCCCAGACACUAACAGGAAAGCCGGGACCAGGCAGGCUAGCAAAGAAGAGGAAGUGAAGCCAGGGUGUGUCUAGAGCUACUAGGCAGCGUUGGAGUCCAUCUUCAAAACAGCCUGAAGUUAGAGCUCCCGGCAUGUGCGUUCUGCCCCGCGGCCCUGUGGAUGCUGAAUCAACCACACGUGGCUCCUAGGCUACCUCACCUCGCCUCUCACGCAUUCCUGCUAUCUGGCAGAGCUAACCUUUGCUGAGCAAGAAAGGCCGAAAAGCAGAGUUCCCAUGGUCCUCUUGGGGGCGCUGGCAUGCGCUGUCCUUCCGGCACACAAACAGGCCAUCCUCACUGUUCAGGAGCUGCGUCUGCAGGAAGCUGAAGCAGGAGUCCUCCA